UCCAAGAUGGCCGAGUGGUCAUGGCGUCGGGCUUCUACCUCGAAAGCGCGGGUUCGAAUCCUGCUCUUGGAC